UACGUAGGGUGCGAGCGUUAAUCGGAAUUACUGGGCGUAAAGCGUGCGUAGGCGGUUCGCUGCGUCCGAUGUGAAAGCCCCGGGCUUAACCUGGGAAUGGCAUUGGAAACUGGCGGGCUUGAGUGUGGCAGAGGGGGGUGGAAUUCCGCGUGUAGCAGUGAAAUGCGUAGAGAUGCGGAGGAACACCGAUGGCGAAGGCAGCCCCCUGGGUUAACACUGACGCUCAGGCACGAAAGCGUGGGGAGCAAACAGG
rnacentral:rRNA from 1 species